rnacentral:rRNA from 1 species
GACGAACGCUGGCGGCGCGCUUAACACAUGCAAGUCGAGCGAAGCGGCGGACGGGUGAGUAACCCGUGAGUAACCUGCCUUAGACAUUGGGAUAGCCUCGGGAAACCGGGAUUAAUACCAAAUGGUCUAAGAUGGACUCGCGUCCCAUUAGCUAGUUGGUGGGUAACGGCCCACCACGGCGACGACGGGUAGCCGGCCUGGGAGGGCGACCGGCCACCUUGGGACUAGGAUACGGCGCAAAGUCUACGGGGGGCAGCAGUGGGGAAUAUUGCACAAUGGGGGAAACCCUGAUGCAGCAACGCCGCGUGCGGGAUGACGGCCUUCGGGUUGUAAACCGCUUUCGGCCAUGACGCGGUAGUGGCAGAAGAAGCACCGGCUAACUACGUGCCAGCAGCCGCGGUAAUAC